rnacentral:lncRNA from 1 species
AUUUAUCCAUGCUGUUGCAUGUGGUGGGCAGAAUUACAAGAAGACCCCCAAGAUUCCUCACCCCUUCUUGUAUGCACAUUCCCAUAGGUAUUGAUCUAGGCGCUGCUGUGAAGGGAAUUUGCAGAUGUAAUUGGCCUAAAUCAGUUGGCUUUAAUAUCAGGAAAUUGUCCUCAGUGGGCAUGGCCAUAUGGAGCCCUUACAAGGGACUGGGCUCUUCCUGGUGAAAAAGAUUUGAAUCACGAGAGUGGCUGAUAUGAGGGAAAUUCUUUGCUGUUGCCUUCGAAGACAGAAGAGGUCCACAAGGCAAAGGAUGCAGACAGCCUGUAGGAGCUGAGACUGGCUCCUGGCUGACAGCCAGCAAGGAAAUGAGGACCUCAGUCCUCCAAUCAUGAAGCAGACUCCGACUUCUGCUAACAACCUGAAUACACUUCAAAGAGGAUUCUGAGCUCCAGCCGCCUACACAUUGAUUUCAGCUGUUGGGACCCUCAGCCGAGAACCCAGCUAUGCCGUGCCCAGAUGUAAGACCUACACAUCUGUGAGCUUGUAAGUGUGUGUUGCUUUAAGCCACUAAGUUUGUGGUAAUAUGUUUCACUGCAAUAUGAAACUAAUACUUCUGUGUGCAGUUAUAGUUUGUUCAAUCUUAUUGCUAUAUAGUAUGCCAUCAAACGACUGUGGCACAACUUAUCCAUUCUACAGCUGAUGGACAUCUGGGUAGUUGCUGCCAUCAGCCUUCCAGUGCAUGGUUUUUUGGGUGAAAACAUGCAUGCAUAUCUGCUGGGUAUCUAUUUCUAGAAGUAAAAUUGCUAGGUCAGAGAGUAUACAUAUGUUCAGCUUUAGCAAUUACUGCCAAAGUUUUUCCAAAGGGAAAAUUAUUUUUAAUAGGUAUUUUAUCCAGAUUUGCCACGACCUAAUAAGGAAUUCGUCCCCACAAUAAAACUAACUGGCUAACCUAAUAGCAAAAAGCCCACCCAAUCAAGAGCCAAGAUAGUUGAGGGACAACAACAGCUCCAAAGGCACCCACUCUCCCUUGAGGAGGUACUCAACAGUUAGGUCUCCUGCAUGAAUUGGCAGUGAAUGAGAUUGAUGCUGGCAUUAGGAAUAGCUAGAACUUUGCAGCAAGACUCUAUGUAGAAUAGAUUUUGGUCACUUGAUCCUCUGCACAUGAUCAGCAAUAGUCCAGUGGUCUCUGCUGACACUGCUCUUCUAAUCCUAAUGGCAUUUUAAUUCUGACUAUCUUCAUAUCAGAGGUAUCUUUAACACACACACAAACACCUCACAGGCAUCUCUAGUGAAGCUGGAGACCUAAGAUCUCAAAACAUGGAGGUCUGAAGUCCCUUUUGUUCCUAUCAGUAUGGAGCUAGAUUCCAUUUUAAGCCAAAUUUAUAUUCUGAUUGUAGAAUUGCAGCAAACACUCAGAAGGCCUUGCAAACAAAAGAGUAAACACAUGGAUAAAUGAUCACUAUGCCAGAUUCAGUGAACACCAUUUUUAUAUUCUAAUUGCCAGGAAUGGGGACAGCUGCAUCAUUGUUUAAAACACACACUCAUGCACAAUUAAGCCAGAACAAAUGUCAACACUGGCACCAUCUGCUAAAUUACUGAUAACUGAUGAGCAUUACUCAUGCUGUGAGCAUUGUCUCCAAUAUAAAAUGGAAAGACUUUUUCAAAAACUUAGAGGUUUCUACCAGUUUUAAAAAGCCAGUUUUUAUAUCAUACAGCACAACUGCAACCUGUCAGAUUAUGUAAGUGACAUUUCACCCAUGUGUUCGAGGAGUAUGUGAUAAGUACAUGCUGUUUUUGUGCCUCUUUACAUUUAUGUUAACAAGCCAGGCCUUCAAGAGGCUGAUUCCUGGCUCUGGGACACUUUGUCUGUGAUGAGGGUAUCUUGCUGUCAGGUGAGCAGAAAUGCCCAGUUAUAACCUUGUAAUCAGAGAGCCAGGGUUUUGCCAUUACAUGGUCAACUGCAGACACAAGACUCUACUUCAUCAGUCUCGUUUUUAAUAAAUUAUAUAACAGAAAAAUGAUUUAAACCCCUUGUUCAGUCCCCUUAUGAAGUACAAAUUGUAUCCAAUAUAAUUUAUGAAAAAUCAUUUAUAAUCUUGAACCUGGAGAUGAAGCCACCUUUCAGCUUUCAUAUCUCCAAGCUGAGAAGCAUCCUCCUGCCUGUCUCAGCAUCACUCCCAGAUAUUCUUCUCCUGCAUUUGUUCCAAUUUAUCCAGUUUGUUUCAAAGGGUAGAGAUAUUAUUAUUAGUAAUCCAUAAACCACCUGAUGCAUCAUAGUACAGAAAGAUUCUCUUGCACCUCAGGCAUGUCACACUCCUACAGUAUGUUCCUGUACUUGCCAGAAACAGCAUCACUGGAAUAAGGUCACUCAGAUCACAUUCAGAUGACAUGCUGGACAUAAUGGACCUAGAAUCUCCUUUUCUUACCUUAAAGGCUGGGCUGUAGGGUAGAAACACUUGGAUCAGGUUCUGCCCUUUGAUGAAUUCAGCUAAGAGAAUGUAUUUUUUAAUUUCCAAGCCAGUGCAAGCCCCUAGACGCAUUUUGUUGGUGGUCUGUAUAAUGCUGAGACUUUCAGAGGAAUGCCCUAUAAAUACAGCUGCUUAAAAAUGUUUAAUAUUCCUUGGGUACCUGAGAAGAGAAAAGGGAUGAGUGUUCCACUGUGAUCAUCUACUUCUGAAGCACCAAGGGAUGUUUCAAAUCCUAACACCAUGGCCACAGUAAAGCAUGUGUCAUUUAACCACCAUCCUAAAUUCUAAAAGCUCCAUGCAUUGGGUAGACAUGGCUAGUAUGGACACUAUGUGCUAGACAUUGUAUGACAUGCUAGGGAAACGAGAAUCAGUCAUUCACAGUCUGUGCCUAGAAAGGAGUUUAAAUUCCCAUGAGGAAGACAGACAGUGCCCUAUAGUAGGAUUAAGAUCUGUCUAACCCAAAUUGGGAGUGACAGAGAGGUCAGUGGGCAGGGGGCAGAAUGGCAAGGAAGGUUUCCAGAGGAGGUAGUGUUUGACCUGAAUUGUGAUGCGUGAGGACGUUCAGCCAGGUAAAGAGGUGGGACAAGGUACUGUAGGUGGAGGCUGGCAGUGGGUGAUGGGGUACAGUUGGCUCAACACGGCUGAAGAGAUUAGGCUGGGUGGGUGAGUGCGAGACAGAGCACAGAGAAUUGGGAUUUUAUCCAUGAAACCAUUGCAAGAUUUUAAGUAGGGGAAUGAUAUGAUCAGAUUUGCAUUUUAGAUAAUCAAGCUGCAGGCUAGUGGAGCACAGUUUGAGGGUUCAAAGACUGAAAAGGCACGGAGAUGCCGGCUUGUCUUUCUUUUCCCUGAUCAGACCAGACCCCUUCCCUUGGCCUCCCCUUCCCACCACAUACCUCAUUGGCAGGCAGCCCUACUAUGAGCUCAUAUUAUUGUACCAAUUUGAGAAUUAAUUAUCUGCCUCCUUCCAGGGUAGCAGGAAAAGAGUAGAGAAACAUGAUUACUGACUGCUUUAUAGAAGCUGUCACCAUAUUAAGUGCUUCAUCAUUCAAUUCACCUGAGAUGCAUGGAAAUAGGUUAAGCUUGAUUGAGGCUGGUCCACCGCAAAACUGUGCAGUUAGCAGAGUUUGUUUUUGGUACAUAUACCCUUUUGUUACUCUGCAGCCCCCUCUGCUCUAUAGGUUCCUGGUAUAAUAACACUCUCUUCCCCUCCCUUUUGGAACCUCUGCUCUUGGGAAAGGCUUUGAUAGCUUUCUCUUAAAUACUAGUGUUCCUGAUGGGAGAAAUUUAACCUGAAGCAUCCUCUCUGACUGCAAUGAAGGUGUUGUCCUGUUAGAACUGCACUCAGAGCACUGUAAAGAAUUAUAUAAGUAGCCAUCACCUUAACCACAUCCUCAAACAUUUUCAAUGCAAUCUAGCGGAGAAUGAUUUUCUGAAAGAAUACAUAUCUGAUUUUAUAACAGAAAUAAAUGGAAAUAUGAUUUGUUUUAUAGAAAAUGUCUUGCCCUCUAACUAUUAAUAUGUCAAUAUUUAUAUAUGAACUACAAUAAGAACAGCUACAACAAGAUUGAUGUAUACUGCCUGAACGCCCUGAAAAUAGAUCAUUGUCCGCAAGUGUAGUUACCAAUAUAACAGCCUAGUCUUGCUGUGCUAUGAGUUUGCCUGGAUUGCCAUUACUUAUAGGCCAAGUAGACUGUGGUGAAUGCCAGAUACUAGCCAACUUUUUCUGAAAGAGCCAGAUGAUAAAUAUCAUAAACUUUGUGGCCCAGACAGGUUCUGUUGCAACUCCCAACUCUGCCACUGUAGUGUGAAAACAUAGACAAUGGAGAACGAAUGUGAAUGGCCAGAGUUGCUCCACAGGAUUGCUAACUCCUGCUCCACACUUUGUGAUAUGCAGAUCCCAUGCAAGAAGUCCCACCUCAUUUCCCUGAAGAGUCACCAUAAAAGGCAUUCCAUGUUUAGACAUCAUAUUUACAAAGGCCUAAUAAAUAAUAACAUGUUAAUCUAUUAUCCACCAUCAACAUGUUAGCACAGUUUUAUUUAUCCUUGAAGUGAACCUGGAGAUCACAGGAUGACCUUUCUAUGCAUACACUCUCCUCUAACUUUGACCAGCGGUCUCAUAAAUACACGUCCCAGGUCACCAUGGACAACUAAACAAAUAUAUGGGUUGCUUGGUGAGAUUUCACCUCCACUUAUGAAGACAAUAAAUUCUUGUGUCCU